AAUAUUUAUUAUAUUUAUUAAUAUUAAAAAAUAAUUUAAUUAUAAAUUAUAGUCCUUUCGUACAAAUAAUUUAUUAAUUUUUAUAGAUAGAAACCAAUCUGACUUACGUCGAUUUGAACUCAAAUCAUGUAAGAUUUUAAAAGUCGAACAGACUUAAUAUUUAGAUUUCUUCACCUAAAAUUUAUCUUAAUUCAACAUCGAGGUCGCAAACAUCUUUAUUAAUAUGAUCUUUAAAAAGAUAUUACGCUGUUAUCCCUAAGGUAAUUUAUUUUUUUAAUUUAUAAUAAUAAGAUCAUUUAAUAUAUUCUAAAAUUAAAGUUUAUUUUAAAAAUAAAGUUUAUUAAAUUUAUUAAUCCUCCCAAUUAAAUAUUUAUAUUAUAAUUAAAUGAUUAAUUAUAUAUAAAUAUAAAAUUCUAUAGGGUCUUAUCGUCUUAUAAAAUAAUUUAAGCAUUUUUACUAAAAAUUUAAAUUUAUUUUAUAUAUAUGAGACAGUAUAUAUCUCAUUAAUUCUUUCAUUCUAGUUUUUAAUUAAAAAACAAUUGAUUAUGCUACCUUUGUACAGUUAAUUAUACUGCAGCCAUUAAAAUUUAAAUCAUUGGGCAGAUAGACUUAAAAUUAUUUUCAAUAAGCCAUGUUUUUGAUAAACAGGUGAAUAUAUUUAAUUUGCCUAAUUCCUUAUAUAUAUAUAAUAUUAAAAAAUUUAUUAUUUUUUAAACAUAAAAAUAUUACUAAUUUAAUCAUUAUAACUAAUUUUAAAUAUAUUAUAAAUUAUUUUCUUUUAAUAAAUAUAUAUUAUAAUAAUAUAAUAAAAUUUUAAAAUUUUUAAUUAAUUUAAUUAAUAUUAAAUUAUUAAAUACUUUAAAAUAAAAAUUAUUUUUAAAUCUAUAUUAUUAUUAUUUUAUUAUUAUUAUUAAAAUUAUAUAUUAAAAUUUAUAGUUUAUCCCUUAAAUUUUUUAUAUAAAUAUAUAAAAAAAUUUUUAAAAAUAAAUUUUUAUAAUUAUUUAUAUAUAAAUUAAAUUUAUUUCAAAAAAAACUAGAUAUAAAAAAUUCGAAUAACAUUUAAUUUCUAAAUAUAUAUUUUAAUUAUUUAUAUAACAAUAAAAUAUUUAUAUAUUUAGCUCUUUUUUUUUCGAGAUUAUUAAAAUAAUUAAAUUAUAUUAAUUAACCCUGAUACAAAAGGUACAAAAUAAAUUUUACUUAUUAAUUUUUCAUAAAUUUCAUUUACAUUACUUAAAUCUAUUAAUAAAAUAAUUAAUUUAUAAUUUUUUACUAAAACUUAAAAUAUUUUUAAAAUUUUAAAUAAAAAUAAUUAAUAAAAUCUAAAUUUUUAAAUUUAUUUAAUUAAA
rnacentral:rRNA from 1 species